rnacentral:rRNA from 1 species
GUCGUACGCUUUUUCUUUCACCGGAGCUUGCUCCACCGAAAGAAAAGGAGUGGCGAACGGGUGAGUAACACGUGGGUAACCUGCCCAUCAGAAGGGGAUAACACUUGGAAACAGGUGCUAAUACCGUAUAACAAUCGAAACCGCAUGGUUUUGAUUUGAAAGGCGCUUUCGGGUGUCGCUGAUGGAUGGACCCGCGGUGCAUUAGCUAGUUGGUGAGGUAACGGCUCACCAAGGCCACGAUGCAUAGCCGACCUGAGAGGGUGAUCGGCCACAUUGGGACUGAGACACGGCCCAAACUCCUACGGGAGGCAGCAGUAGGGAAUCUUCGGCAAUGGACGAAAGUCUGACCGAGCAACGCCGCGUGAGUGAAGAAGGUUUUCGGAUCGUAAAACUCUGUUGUUAGAGAAGAACAAGGAUGAGAGUAACUGUUCAUCCCUUGACGGUAUCUAACCAGAAAGCCACGGCUAACUACGUGCCAGCAGCCGCGGUAAUACGUAGGUGGCAAGCGUUGUCCGGAUUUAUUGGGCGUAAAGCGAGCGCAGGCGGUUUCUUAAGUCUGAUGUGAAAGCCCCCGGCUCAACCGGGGAGGGUCAUUGGAAACUGGGAGACUUGAGUGCAGAAGAGGAGAGUGGAAUUCCAUGUGUAGCGGUGAAAUGCGUAGAUAUAUGGAGGAACACCAGUGGCGAAGGCGACUCUCUGGUCUGCAACUGACGCUGAGGCUCGAAAGCGUGGGGAGCAAACAGGAUUAGAUACCCUGGUAGUCCACGCCGUAAACGAUGAGUGCUAAGUGUUGGAGGGUUUCCGCCCUUCAGUGCUGCAGCUAACGCAUUAAGCACUCCGCCUGGGGAGUACGACCGCAAGGUUGAAACUCAAAGGAAUUGACGGGGGCCCGCACAAGCGGUGGAGCAUGUGGUUUAAUUCGAAGCAACGCGAAGAACCUUACCAGGUCUUGACAUCCUUUGACCACUCUAGAGAUAGAGCUUCCCCUUCGGGGGCAAAGUGACAGGUGGUGCAUGGUUGUCGUCAGCUCGUGUCGUGAGAUUUGGGGUUAAGUCCCGCAACGAGCGCAACCCUUAUU